CCUAGGCCUUUAUUUUUUAUUUUGAGGCAGCGUCUUUCUAAGGUGCUGAGGAUAGCUUUAAGCUUGGGCUCCUCCCGCAACAACCUCCCAAGUUGCUGGGAUUACAAGGCAUGUACCACUGCCUGUAAUAACUUGCAUUGCUAUUUGAAAGUAAGAUCAACUUCUGAAAUAGCAAAUGACUUCUUGCAAAGUUCAGAACAAAACAAAAUAUAAUCCUUCCUAGAUUUACAUAGAAUUUACACUCUUAGAAAACAAAGAAUAUAUUAAACCAAUACCCAAAGAUUAUUUAUACCUGUAAAACAGAUUCUAAGUUGGAAUGACUAUCGAUUGGUUUUGAAAAUCAUUUAAGAUAUGUUUCAGUUCUUCAUUUUCAUAUUCUGACACCAUGGUACAUAUACCAUUUCCAGAUCACUCCUACUGAAUGCCUAUAGGGCUCUUCAAUCAUCGUACUAAUCAAAUAUUGCACAACAGAUUUCCAAGGUGCUUAUACCACUCCUUUUGUAGCUAGGGCUAUGAUCUACACCAUGAAAAUCUUUGAAAGGCAUUAUACUAUACACUUGUCUUGAGACUUGGUUGAAAUUAGGCAAGAUAAUCAUGGUUUAAAAGUCUGAAGCCAUUUCACCAGAGUUAAGUAGCCCUGCCUACCUGCCAGUUGUCCAACCGAGCACAUAAUAUUCUCUUUGGCUUUGUUGUCAGAUAGGCUCUGGGCAUACUCCAGUUUCCAACCUUCCCACUUUAAUUCUGAUUCUCAGUGAUUUUUCGAUCAUUACACAUUUGAGAUUCAGAAUGCAAAAAACAACUAUGGCAUCUUUGUAUCUGGAUGCUAACUACAGAUGGGUGGAUUGAAAGUAUGGACCUGCUAUUCAUAAUUUGCCAUAAAUUAAUACAGCGGUCAAACGAUUUGUUGUUUUGCUUGGUUUCGCUUCAAGGCCAGUCCCUCGUAAACAAUUAUUUGGUCUGGAUUAUUUGUCCAGCCAUACCUAUCCUCUCAUACUUCUUUAGACGGAUACCAAAGAUUUCUCUUUCAUUUCCUUUGCCCCUGAGAAACCAUAUUUUGGUUAGUUUGGGCUAUCCAGCAUUAUAUCUCAGCUCCAAAUCAAAAUGCCAGACUCUGAAAGAAAUUUUCCCGGGAUCUCCACAAAUAAAAUGUGAACAUUUCGGCUUCAAUUGAAGCCAAACCUCUUCCUCCUCCACCCUUCUCUCCUUUCCUGCAGAAUCUUCAUGUCUUCUGUCUUUUAAGGAAGACACAGCUUUUUAAUUUUUCUCACAUUGUCCAGGAAUCUCCACCUGGAUCCUGGAUCCCUAACCUGUCUGCUUGGAACAAUUCACAUCUAGCAUUGCAUGUUGUCAUCUCAGAUCAAAUGACGCAAGCCCUACUACUAAGAAAUUUCAUCUAUUCAACCAACAAGGCAAGUGGAAUCCCAUCUGUUGCCGCAGACCCACCCCCGCCCCAGGCGCUGGUCUCACCUUCCAUUUGCCUGGACACUCUCCACAUCCAGACACCGGCCUCAUUCGGAAUGAGACUUUUCGCCCCCUAACCAGCAGGAAGAAGCUACAGAAGAAAGAUCGUCGUCCCACCCCUGGUAUCUAUAAAAACAAAAAGGGAGAAAUAUUGGCAUCAUAUCUGCUAUUUUGCUGCCACCAUUAUUCUGCCUCCCCUACAUCACUUUACAGCCCAGAUUGUUAGCCCUUGAACCUCCUAGUCAGUCAUUGGUUCAGAUUGUUAGCCCAUAAACUUCUAAGCCAGUCAUUGGUCCAUUGUUAUUAGCCAGUGAAAUUCCACUACUUAAGAUUGGCUCCCCCACCAUUUUCUCUCUCUCUUCUCAUUCUUGCUCCCUUUCUCACUCGCACUCUCUCUCCUCCUC